UAUGACUCUCUUAAGGUAGCCA
rnacentral:ncRNA from 2 species